rnacentral:lncRNA from 1 species
GUUCUUUCGUGGUUCCCUCGCUGUGCUCUCACCGUUCUCUCAUGGUGCCCUUGCCGUGCCCUCACCAUGCUCUCACCGUUCCCUCGUGGUGCCCUCGUCGUGGACUACACUGUAAGUUUAAAUUUGAAAAGAACUAGUUCUACAUCGUCUUCUAUCUACCCACCUACGUACCUAUUGUAUAUUAAAGCGAGUUCCAUUAUUUCAGACAUAUUAGUUGAUGCCAAAAGAUGGAGAGAGCAAAGAUAGAGAUAAAGGUGAUUGAGCAGGUCACCUUCUCCAAAAGAAGACGUAGUCUUCUUAAAAAAGCCAAGAAGCAAUCAGUUCUAUGUUUUUAAAAAACCAAGAAGACAUGAUUCACCGAUUUUGCUUUUUAUUGUUUAUACAGUAAUUUUUAUUUUUUUAUUUUUCAGUUAGCAAAAUAUUAUUUAAUUGU